rnacentral:rRNA from 1 species
AGAAUCGGUGGAUUAUAACUUUGAGCGGU